rnacentral:rRNA from 1 species
AUUGAACGCUGGCGGCAGGCCUAACACAUGCAAGUCGAGCGGAGCGGCGGACGGGUGAGUAAUGCCUAGGAAUCUGCCUGGUCGUGGGGGAUAACGUCCGGAAACGGGCGCUAAUACCGCAUACUAUCAGAUGAGCCUAGGUCGGAUUAGCUAGUUGGUGGUGUAAAGGCCUACCAAGGCGACGAUCCGUAACUGGUCUGAGAGGAUGAUCAGUCACAUGUGAACUGAUACACGGUCCAGACUCCUAGGGGAGGCAGCAGUGGGGAAUAUUGGACAAUGGGCGAAAGCCUGAUCCAGUCAUGACGCGUGUGUGAAGAAGGUCUUCGGAUUGUAAAGCGCUUUAAGAUGGGAGGCGUUACCUGCAGAAGAAGCACAGGCUAACUUCGUGACAGCAGCCGAGGUAAUAC